AGGCGUCCAUGGUGGACGCGUAUUAUUGGGCUGUACAUUCCUGGGUUGAGCAUUCUCGGGCCGCGCAAUAUUGGUCCGGGGCGAUAAUACGAAGCCACUCUUUUCACAGGGCAAUAAUGUACGACCCCAUAAUUCGCGUCCAAUAAUUUGAGUCCCUUGGCUUUCAAUUAUUGGGCUGCGCAUUAUUGGUACAGGUCGAGAAAGCCCGACCCAAUAAUGUACGACCCAAUAAUAGGAAGCCAAAAACCAGAGAGAUUCUUUUUUUUAAGGGAGCUGUCAAAAUUAGUAGGGACGUUCUGACAUUAGCUCUUGACAAUUUAAAAAUAAUCGGUUUUUUCUAGUGCCAUCUUUCAGUGACAUUGACAGUAUUGUAUUGACACUUGUUGGUUUACAAAUACAAUAAAAUGAAUUCUAAUAAAAGAAACAGUAGACUCAGUAGAGGUACGAGGUACUGAAAAAAUAUUAAUUAAUGGAGAAGCCGAAGUUGGAGGAAAACAAGAAGAUUCGAGGAGAAUGGUGUGGCACUUAAUGUCGCCCCGGGACAGUAACCUAGCUGCAGCUCCAACUCUAGGGAAUUGGGCUGAAUGAACGCAACACGUGAUCGACAGCCCACCUGCUUCCUGCCGAGCGUCCCUACACUACAUCUACAUGGAUUCGCUUAUUCUGCUCUACAAAACUUCUAAAACAAUACAAAUAAUACAGGAAGAAGAGAUUAAACAACAGGCGGUCUUAUCGCUAAAAAGCGAUCUCUUCCAGACAACCUUACUACUUUUGAGGUUAGAACAACCCACGAAAACAUUUAAUGUAAAGUGUUGCCAAGACUAGUUGCAUAAAGCUUUUACACUAAAAAAGUUAUCAGAUCCCGUAGUAGGUACCAAGACUUUUACUCUGUCAUUCCUAACUUUAUAAGCUCUAACAGUAUAAAGCCAACAUCUUGGUCAAACAGUACGGCUUGGCCGUUUCGUUGGUGUCAUACUCAUAUGGACAAUCCCGUAAUGACACUUUCAGAAUUUGAAAGACCUUUGUUGCUACUUUGUACAACAAGUCCACUGAGGGAGUGUUUGUAAAAACGACAUAUCAGUUUAUAUAAACUACGAUAAUACAAGGUCAUAUAAGCAGGCAUAAUUUUAAAACAUUUAACAUUUAGGUUUUCAGAAAAGUUACGUACCUAUUUCUAGCGACAUCUAUGUAUGUAGGGCCUAUAUAAAAUAAGCCAGGAAAGUUAUGAAAGUGAAUUAAAGUUCAUGUUGCACUGAUAAAAUCAUUUUAAACAAAUAUUCUAAAUAUAAUUAUUCUCAAAUUUCAGGAGCUGAUACAAGCAGCCA